rnacentral:misc_RNA from 1 species
GGAAGUAAAAGCGUAACAAGGUUUUUCCAUGGCAAGAUGAUCCUUCUAAUUCAUUUGCAGAAGCCUUUUAAUUGGCCAUGAAACGACUCUAAACAAAUCAAGGCCCCCUAAAUACCUUUGGUGUCUAGGUGGUAGUUGAUCUUUGAAUCAGCAACAUCGUUGAACUGUGGCGAUCCUCAUGCAUCUAGAAAUAGACGCUUGAGCAAUCCGUAACUCAUAAUUCAAACCUUUCUGAGUUCACAGGCUAAGUAACGAUGAGUGUGAUUAAUUUUACACUAAGAUAUAGUCGGUCCCCGGAGCAAUCCAGAGGAUAUCACGUUCCGUAGGUGAACCGGCGGAAGGAUCAUUAAUGAGUUAGGGUACACCUGUGCCCGAACCUCCAACCCUUUGUCUACCUACCUCUAGUUGCUUUGGCGGGGCGUGGAUUGAAUUUAUUUUGAUCCACCACCGGCUUCGGCUGGUGAAGUCUCCGUCAAUAGCCCACCCAAAAACCUUUUAAUUAAUGCAGUCUGAGUAAAAAUUUAAUAGCUAAAAACUUUCAACAACGGAUCUCUUGGUUCUG